UACGAAGGGGGCUAGCGUUGUUCGGAAUUACUGGGCGUAAAGCGCGCGUAGGCGGGCGUUUAAGUCAGGGGUGAAAUGCCGGGGCUCAACCUCGGAACGGCCUUUGAUACUGGAUGCCUGGAGUUCGGGAGAGGUUGGUGGAAUUCCGAGUGUAGAGGUGAAAUUCGUAGAUAUUCGGAGGAACACCAGAAGCGAAGGCGGCCAACUGGCCCGACACUGACGCUGAGGCGCGAAAGCGUGGGGAGCAAACAGG
rnacentral:rRNA from 1 species